UACGUAGGGUGCAAGCGUUAAUCGGAAUUACUGGUCGUAAAGCGUGCGCAGGCGGUUUUUUAAGUCAGAUGUGAAAUCCCCGGGCUUAACCUGGGAACUGCGUUUGAAACUACAAGGCUAGAGUGUGGCAGAGGGGGGUGGAAUUCCACGUGUAGCAGUGAAAUGCGUAGAGAUGUGGAGGAACACCGAUGGCGAAGGCAGCCCCCUGGGUUAACACUGACGCUCAGGCACGAAAGCGUGGGGAGCAAACAGG
rnacentral:rRNA from 1 species